GAUCAUGGCUCAGGAUGAACGCUAGCGACAGGCUUAACACAUGCAAGUCGAGGGGCAGCGGGGAGUAGCAAUACUCUGCCGGCGACCGGCGCACGGGUGAGUAACGCGUAGGUAACCUGCCUGGUAGCGGGGGAUAACUAUUGGAAACGAUAGCUAAUACCGCAUAACAGUAGAUAUUGCAUGAUAUUUGCUUGAAAGGGGCAAUUGCUCCACUACCAGAUGGACCUGCGUUG
rnacentral:rRNA from 1 species